UCCUCCUCCUAGCUGCCUGAGGAUGUGCACUCUGUCCUGGCUCCCUGCGGGUGAAGAUGUAGAACUCUUAGCUCCUCCUGCACCAUCCCUGCCUGGAUGCUGCCAUGCUCCUGCCUUGAUGAUAAUGGACUGAACCUCUGAACCUAACAAGAUGUAGAACUCUCAACUUAUCCAGCACCAUGCCUGCCUAGACGCUGUCACGCUCUCAUCUUGAUGACAACAGACUGAACCUCUGAACCUGUAAGCCAGCUCCAAUUAAAUGUUGUUCCUUACAAUA